rnacentral:rRNA from 1 species
AUGAACGCUAGCUACAGGCUUAACACAUGCAAGUCGAGGGGCAGCAUCAUCAAAGCUUGCUUUGAUGGAUGGCGACCGGCGCACGGGUGAGUAACACGUAUCCAACCUGCCGACAACACUGGGAUAGCCUUUCGAAAGAAAGAUUAAUACCGGAUGGCAUAAUUAUUCCGCAUGGGAUAAUUAUUAAAGAAUUUCGGUUGUCGAUGGGGAUGCGUUCCAUUAGGCAGUUGGCGGGGUAACGGCCCACCAAACCUACGAUGGAUAGGGGUUCUGAGAGGAAGGUCCCCCACAUUGGAACUGAGACACGGUCCAAACUCCUACGGGAGGCAGCAGUGAGGAAUAUUGGUCAAUGGACGAGAGUCUGAACCAGCCAAGUAGCGUGAAGGAUGACUGCCCUAUGGGUUGUAAACUUCUUUUAUACGGGAAUAAAGUUAGCCACGUGUGGCUUUUUGUAUGUACCGUAUGAAUAAGGAUCGGCUAACUCCGUGCCAGCAGCCGCGGUAAUACGGAGGAUCCGAGCGUUAUCCGGAUUUAUUGGGUUUAAAGGGAGCGUAGGCGGGUUGUUAAGUCAGUUGUGAAAGUUUGCGGCUCAACCGUAAAAUUGCAGUUGAUACUGGCGACCUUGAGUGCAACAGAGGUAGGCGGAAUUCGUGGUGUAGCGGUGAAAUGCUUAGAUAUCACGAAGAACUCCGAUUGCGAAGGCAGCUUACUGGAUUGUAACUGACGCUGAUGCUCGAAAGUGUGGGUAUCAAACAGGAUUAGAUACCCUGGUAGUCCACACAGUAAACGAUGAAUACUCGCUGUUGGCGAUAUACAGUCAGCGGCCAAGCGAAAGCAUUAAGUAUUCCACCUGGGGAGUACGCCGGCAACGGUGAAACUCAAAGGAAUUGACGGGGGCCCGCACAAGCGGAGGAACAUGUGGUUUAAUUCGAUGAUACGCGAGGAACCUUACCCGGGCUUAAAUUGCAACUGACGGAACCGGAAACGGUUCUUUCUUCGGACAGUUGUGAAGGUGCUGCAUGGUUGUCGUCAGCUCGUGCCGUGAGGUGUCGGCUUAAGUGCCAUAACGAGCGCAACCCUUACGGGUAGUUACCAUCAGGUUAUGCUGGGGACUCUACCCGGACUGCCGUCGUAAGAUGUGAGGAAGGUGGGGAUGACGUCAAAUCAGCACGGCCCUUACGUCCGGGGCUACACACGUGUUACAAUGGGGGGUACAGAAGGCAGCUACACGGCGACGUGGUGCUAAUCCCAAAAGCCUCUCUCAGUUCGGAUUGGAGUCUGCAACCCGACUCCAUGAAGCUGGAUUCGCUAGUAAUCGCGCAUCAGCCACGGCGCGGUGAAUACGUUCCCGGGCCUUGUACACACCGCCCGUCAAGCCAUGAAAGCCGGGGGUACCUGAAGUACGUAACCGCGAGGAGCGUCCUAGGGUAAAACUGGUGAUUGGGGCU